AUCCAGUUAAUUUCAAAAUUAAUUUCAAGUUUCUUUCCCAUCAAUGGCAGAGGCGUUACGCAUGUGCAAGGGGUUUUGCUAUAAUCUUCUCUGGGUAAAAAGUGCAAAAACUUUGGGGUUAAUAUGAUGGAAAUUGGUUUUCUGUUGAACGGUCCUGAAGAGUCUAAUUCUUGGAUUAGGACAGUUUGGUUUUAGAUUGGAUUUGUCGAGAUUGCAGUCGGUUACUUAUUAACCUAAACGGGAUUCAAGGGGGUGGUCAAGUAAUCAAAUCUUGAGGUUCUGAAAAUGUGGACUUUGUUGUUGGAUGGACAGAUAAAAUAGAACCAAACAACUGAAUUCACAUAAUGUAAGACCCGAUUUCAUGCAGAAACUUAUUAUAAUUAGAAUAAAACGUUUUCUUCAAUAAGAAAUAACUUUACAAACAUACGUUUUGUGCCCAUUAACAUAUGUGGUUGGCUUCAUUAGUUUUGCAAUUGACUCGAAGUCGUUAUUUGCAAUACAGCCUGUGAAACUGUACUGUAAGUCAUGCUUUAAUAAACAAGCUAAGGGAUUAAUAAGGAUAUAAGGAUACAUGGUUUAGGUUCACAAUGAAUUCGAGUGUGUUUUCUGGAUGUCGGUGAUUAAUACGUGUAAUUAUAGGUGAAAGAAAACCUGAGAAGGGAGCUUUGCUAUUGCAGUUCCACAUCCAUCCUUAGCUUCGACGGAUUACCAAUGCCAAUUACCAACAUCUUAAGAUCUUUCUUAAAAGAGAAAGUAAAAGAUCAUUGAAGAAAGGAAUUAGUGCAAAACCAACGGCAGAAGCCCUGAUUGCAGGAAGCUAUGCACGAUAAGUUGCAGGUAGAGAUGAUAGGAAACAAAUGUAGCCGGACAUUAAACUCAGUGAUUAAAUUUUGAUGCAUUUAUUUUAAGAUAUACUAUUGUAAUUGGGGAAUAAAUGGUGGAUUCACAAAUUUCAAGAUGAAGCUUUUUUUAUUUUGAUAAGAAAUAAAAUAUCAC